GUUUUCUAUUUAUAGGAGUGUUUGAGAGCCUGUAUGCUAUGUAGCAUGGUUUAUGAUUUUAUGAGUUUCUCAAGACGCAUGCCAAUUGUGCAAGUAGGCCACCCAAAGUAGACUCCCCAAAGUGAGCACCAAAAGCAACCUACUAAUAUUUCAGCAGGCUUCAACAUGCAAAUGAGUCCUCAAACAAAUCACCUUUUUUUUUCUUGUGAGCUGUGAGCAUCCUAACCAAUCAGAGACGUUCCAGAGUGUUCUGUGGGUGUUUUUAUUUUUCACAUGAUCCACCACACCUAACUAAUUCUGCUCAAAACCAUGCAGGAGGAGAACUUAAUGUACUGGACGCGGGGACGCUGUGUGGAUGUUGCGCUACUCACUUCCUGAUAUUUCCACCAUGCUACCACCAGAGGAUAUCAGACCGCUUUCUCUUCGCUAUUCUGUACUCUCGCCACACUGUAAACCAUUCCACCUGUCCACCAUCAUGCAUUCUACAACACAGCUUUUAUGUAUUUUUUAAAUAGACCUGAAGCGUUUAGCAUCAACUGAGGGUUGUAAAUUACUGUAACAAAACUAGUGCAAAGUCAGGAUGUUCAAUUUUAACCCGUUUUAUUUUACUUUAAUGUACGUUUUCGCUAGAGAUGACUGUCCUACCGAAAUAUAUAUUUGGGAUAAACUGAUAAAUAAACGUUCUAUAAUCGGGCACUGCAACUAACAUGUUGAUUGCAUAUUUAAUUUUUAAAGUCUACCACACCAGGCAUAUUAAAGUCGAUAUCUGAUGCGCUCGGUGUUGUAUUGCUAGUGCCUAAGAUAAUGGAAACUUUCAGUACAUCAAACAAUAACAAAUAUUAGACCUGUUUCAAAACUAUUGGGACAAUAGUUACAAUUACAUUUUAAGAUCAGUACAGUUUUCAGAAUUCACCGAUUAACCUUUGGUAGUAUCUGUGUUCGGUAGGAUAUUAUUUUAGAAAUUUUUGUAAAACCUAGCCCAUUAAAUAGAAAAAUAACACAUUAAAUAGUUCAUGUAAAACAUUAUUGAAGAUGGAAAUAAGUUAUAUAGAUUUUACAUUUAAUAUGCUUUUACAAUACAUGCAAAAAAGGAAACAACAGAAAAUCUCGAAAAAAUUGUAAUUCUGUUAUACUUACAGCAAAGUACAUUUCAAAUAAUAACUAUGUCUAUCUCAACUCUUAAGAGUAUGUUAAUGGUAUGUAAGUAAUUAGUAUAAUAAUUGAAACAAUAGCAAAUAAUAAUUUUGUACAAAUGCUAUGUAUGUUCACGAAAUUGUGAUAUCACUAGUAAUAUAUUCGAGAAGUAGAUCAACACAAUUGUUAUUAGA